GUGUCAGCAGCCGCGGUAAUACGGAGGGUGCAAGCGUUAUCCGGAAUCAUUGGGUUUAAAGGGUCCGCAGGCGGGCGUAUAAGUCAGUGGUGAAAUCCUGCAGCUUAACUGCAGAACUGCCAUUGAUACUGUACGUCUUGAAUUCGGUCGAAGUGGGCGGAAUGUGUAGUGUAGCGGUGAAAUGCAUAGAUAUUACACAGAACACCGAUAGCGAAGGCAGCUCACUAGGCCUGGAUUGACGCUCAGGGACGAAAGCGUGGGGAUCAAACAGGAUUAGAUACCCUGGUAGUCCACGCUGUAAACGAUGAUUACUCGUUUUCGGCGAUAUACUGUCGGAGACUAAGCGAAAGUGAUAAGUAAUCCACCUGGGGAGUACGAUCGCAAGGUUGAAACUUAAAUGAAUUGACGGGG
rnacentral:rRNA from 1 species